UCCCUUAAGCGAAUAUGAGCUCUAGAGCAGUCCAACUCUCCAGCUGCUUCGAUCAUACCUCUGCAUGAUCAAGUCCCUCCCAUGGGACUCACUAGUACUUGCAUUCGAACUUUUCCCUUGGUGGAACCCAGCCCCCAUAUGCUGAUGACCAAGGUUUUCAUUCGAUGCAACCUUCGAUGCACGCACGGAGACCCGCCUCUGCAGUACCAUGACCUUCACUCCUUGAAUCCAUAGCCCUUCUUGCCGUCGUGUUGUUCAUCGAAGUGGAGCUUCCAGUAGCUCCCGAUCAUACCUCCAUUUGAUCUAGUCCCUCACGGGACU
rnacentral:lncRNA from 1 species